rnacentral:lncRNA from 1 species
UAUCUAUUUAACUAUUUAUAAUCUGGUCUUAUCUCAUUGUCAACAACUUUUGAAAUGUUAGGGAUUAUAUUUCUGAGUCUUAUAAUAGGUUUGUUUCUUUUCUUUUCUUUUCUAUGUUAUGAUAUGUAUUAAAACGUUUAGGUUCUUUCUAAUGAUAAAAAGUGGUAACAGAAAAUUGCUUGGAAUGCCCAGCAAACACAUAACAUUUUAAAAACAUUUUCUUUAAGUCAUAUAAACGUCCUUCUGAAAACAUUGUAACAAGAUAGCAUUGAAACAUAAACAAAUGUUUAGUGUAUUGUCUUUGAAAUGUUUGAAUUGUAACAUUUGAGUAAGAUGUUAUUACAACAUCCAAAUAACGUUAUUUGGUAAUAUCUUUUAGUCACGUUCUUAAACAUUGUUCUGAAAUAUCCCGUUCAUAUUUCAAUAAUAAAAGAAAAUGAUAUUUGCUUUAAUUGGUAUUUAAACUUGUUACAACUUUAAUGCAAGGUAAAUAUUUCCCAAACAUAAAAAGAAAUCGGCAAAAAAUAGUUUAGUAAGGGGAGGGGUAAACUUUUUUAGCGGACAACUGUAAGUUCAAUAACUACAUUUGAAAAACCAGUUUAUGAUUAAUUGGCGACACUACACACACUCAAUUCAUUUUUGAUUUGCGAAACCUUACACACUCAAUACAUUUGUAAUCAGCGAUACCACACACACUCAAUUCAUAUGUCACUGUCGAUAAAUCUUGUACAUGAUUGAAAUCGAAUUAUCUCCCGUUUACUAUGGUUAAUAAAAAUCUAAAAUGCAUAACAUUACAGGAAAAAAAAUAAAUUGACAUAAAUACCGAUCUUCUAGGAAAAUUCAAAACAGAAUGUUAUUUAACACAAAUAGCAAAAUCAAAAGCUCAAAUACACCGAACGAAUGGUAACAACUCACAUGUUCCAUACUUGGUGUAGGAAUUGUCUUAUAAUGUACAAAAUGGUGCAUUACAUCUGGUUUUAAAGCCAGAUAAACCUCUCACUUGCAUGAAAGUAGAACAAAAUUCCAUUACAUCAACAACAAUGUUAAGCACAACAAACAGACACAAUAGAUAUAAAUCUCGAAAAUUAGGGUACCACAGUCAGCAUAAUUUUAUUAUCGUAACACUAUUAAAACAAACUACUAUGGCAACACAGAAAAACAAAAUUGCUCGUAGAAACUUUAUAGACAUAGAAAACAGUCAUAAAUGAAUACAAGAAUACAAAACAUGACCACAGCACAAUAACAAAUUGGUGGGAUGUACAAAUACCUAGCCACGCAAAAGGAUAUAACCACCAAUAGACUACACAAAAGGGUUAAAAUAUAUAGACAAAAAAAAAAACACAGUUGCACGUUAUAAAAAUGAUAAACAACAUCAGCAACUAGAAUCGAUAUUUCAAGACCAUCAUGUAUUAUUUGUGAAGUUGAUUAGGAACAUUACAAAUGCGUUAUAUGUAUGUCAGAUAGAACAUACUCUUUAUAAGUAAAGUUAGAUUUUUGUCGCAAGUUUAUUAUAUUUUAUCACUUACAUUGUUGUAUGUUAUUCCCCAACAGGUAAUUGUCUUACUGAUAGACAUUGUUCUCAGAAAAGCGACUGUACAGGUUAUUUGCAGUGUCCACCAUUUAGGCGAGUGGAAUGCUUAAACGGAUUAUGUGAUUGCUAUCACGUGCCUGGUGUUCCUGGUAGGUAUUAAAGAUAGUUUUUGUUGUGUUGUUGGGGUUGCGUUGUCGUCUUAAAACCCGUAUCUCCUUUUCUGAUAAAAACAGAAAUGCUCAAUUAUAUAAUUUAUUCUAAUAUAAUUUUAACAAUUAAACAAAAACAAAACAAAAAGACCCAACAAGAAGUACAUUUGUAAUAUGAAAGUUGUAGAAGAUGCUUAAUGUUUUAUUAGUCAACGUGUUUCCGUGAUCGGUCACGUAAGACAUUUUCACAAUUAUUGUGAUCAUGGGAAGUACAAUCACAACGAUUAGCAGAAAUGAAUUUAAGACACCAAAGACGAAAAACAAUACCGAAACUAAAUUAAUUUUCCUGAGAAAUACGUUGCGGUUUUUCAUUCAUUUGUGUCUUUCAAUGACACUAGAUACACGUAACCUAGAAAUGUCAUCCUGAAAAAUGAUACUAUCACGAACUUGUUGGAAAUAGUACUUGUAUUGAUCUUCAUAUACACAUAAUAAAGCAUGUACAAACUUCUAACAACUUCAAUAACCGUUUCACAAAUGAUAUCGGAUAUGUUCCUUACGUCUUAACUACAAUCCCCUUCCCUUUCAUGAAUGUGACCUACCGAAUUAGACUAUUUACCGGAUUUGUUAUCACAUAAGCAACACGACGGGUGCCACAUGUGGAGCAGGAUCUGCUUACCCUUCCGGAGCACCUGAGAUCACCCUUAGUUUUGGUGGGGUUCGUGUUCUUUAGUUUUCUAUGUUGUGUCAUGUGUUCUAUUGUUUGUUUGUCUUUUUCAUUUUUAGCCAUGGUGUGGUCUGUUUAUUUUAGAUUUCUGAGUUUGACUGUCCCUUUGGUAUCUUUCGUCAUUCUUUUUCAACCAAUACUACAUAUGUACAGUGAAGAUGCAAAAAUAGAUUGACGAAGGAUGCUGAUUGGUUUCUUUCUUUAUCAAAUCCCUUUUACUCACUUUUAGCAUUUAUUAUUUGGUAAAGCUUUGUAACAAUCACUCUAAAUUGCCAUAAAAACUGCAGUUAUUCAUGCGUAGCUCGACACGUGUUUUAGAAUAAGCGAGCUCAAUUCGUGUAUUUCCCAGGCAAACAUGCAAUAAAUUAAUGUAAGGUAUGUCGCACUUUUAAAGUGUUAACAAAUAAUUUCCUGGACUGCCAUAUUAAAAAAAAACUUGUGAUAACGAUAGAAAGGACGUAGGCAUUAGGACAAGAAAAGAUAUCCAAUCUGUUGUGUUUUGGUCGUGAAAUAAUUAGCUGUCAAAAUUAGUUUAAAGGUUGUAACAAAUAACGCAUUCUAUAUUUCUAUAUUCGGAUCAAAAUUGACUUUAUCGACAUUGAAUAUCCAGUGAAAGCGUCAUGCUUACAGUUAAAGGUCGCCAACUUUGAGUAAUGACCGAAUUUUGAAAUAACGCUUGACACUAAAUAGGGACAAGCUCAAGUUUUCUAAACAAAUUUAAAAAAAACUAUGGACUGCUUCGCUCUAUCCUGAUUUAAUGUAAUGUUUAUGCAUGUGGUUGUUGGUUUAAGUAUUUAAAUUGAUAUCAAAUGCAAUAAAUAAUUAGUUUCAGUGAAAAUGGUGCUGUUCUACUUUAAGAGUGUGCGUUAUACACCCAUACUUUUAAAAUUUUGUUCAAUUUACUUGUUGAAAAUUAAAAAAAAAAAAAAUACAAAUAGACAUGACUUUGGAGGUGUGCCUAUGUAGAGGUUUGCCCAGAUUGGCAGAAGUUAUACAAUACAGAUAAUCUGCAUUUUUUAAAACAUUGUAUACGAACAUUGUUUAGAAACACAAAUCAUGCGUAUUGCAGAUUAUUAAACAAAGCAAAUAAAGACGUAUAAUUAUGUCAAUAUUGAAUUUCUGUGUGCAAUAUAUGCAUAAUAAAACGAACACGGAUCAAUAACAGUUGAUCAAAACUGAUAUACACAUAGUUAAUUUUCUGGCUUUUAUGUCUUAUCCUGAGACGAGAAAAUUCUGUAAUUCUUUAGGCAACCAAUCAGAAUCUACAAGUAACUAUUUCAAGAUGGCGUGUAUAACGACUUAAUCUAGUAGCUACGCACCGUGAUGCGAAGCAAACACACAUGUGAGACAUCGAUAUGUUUCUAAUUUUGAGUUGAUUAAAAUGAUUAUUAUUGUAUUUAAAGGAAGUAUUAAUGCCUGUAUCAAGUCAGGAAUAUGACAGUUAUAUCCAUUCGUUUGAUGUGUUUGAUCUUUUGAAUUUGCCAUUUGAUUUGGGACUUUCCUUUUUGAAAAAAGUAAAAUCACAAAAAUACUGAACUUAGAGGAAAAUCAAUUCGGAAAGUCCAUAAUCACAUGGCAAAAUCAAAUAACAAAACGCAUCAAAAACGAAUGGACAAGAACUGUCAUAUUCCUGCAUGACUUGGUACAAGCAGUUUCAAAUGUAGAAAAAUGUGGAUUAAACCUUGUUUUAUAGCGCUAACCCUCUCACUUUGAUGACAGUCUCAUCAAAUUCCGUUAUAUUUACAUUGAUGCGUUAACUAAACAGACACACUAAAUAAAUGAAUGAAUUUUCCUCGGAGUUCAGUAUUUUUGUGUUUUUACUUUUUUUUUAAUAAAGGUCAUCCUUAAAUCUGCUAUGGUUUAAAAGGACUUGAAAGAAGUGGUGUGGUAUAUUACUUCGUGACACAAAUCACUAUAGGCACUGAGCGUCAAGCAAAUAAAUAGACGUUGCGCACUAUGUUGGUACUAAUGAGCGUUCUAGGACGUUUCUUAUAAUAAGCCGAUUUGGACGAUUUCAAAGAACGUUUCAAGCAUUUGAGCUAAUUAACUGUAAAACAUCUGGUAAUACAUUACGUUUUUCGGUAAAAACGGAACAUUUAAGUGUAAAUAACGGCAACAGUAGUAUACCGCUGUUCAAAACUCAUAAAUCUAUCAUGGACAAAAAACAAAAUCGGGGUAACAAACUAAAACUGAGGGAAACGCAUUAAAUAUUAGAGGAAAACAACGACACAACAUUAAAAUCUAACACACACAGCAACGGACUAAGCAUCAGACAAAAUCCGAUGAGAAUAACCAAUAUAACAUCAAAACCAAAUACAUAAAUUUGGGAUAGAAAAGUACCGUGACAUUUUGGUAUUUUAUAUUUCGGUUUCUAUUUUCUUAAUUUUUAAUUUUAUUGUAUUGAGUUCAACCAGAAAUCACUAUAUUUUUAUCUAAAUGACAUCUUAAACUUUUAUAUCUGAUUUUUUCCGAUCUUAUUUCUAAAUACAUAUACAUGUAAGAUAAAUAUGAAUUAUCAUAAUCAAAGUAGCAUACAGAUUUGUUCUAACAAGACAGUCGCCACAGUUUCUAUGCUGCCUAUAACCAAACAUAGACACAGUUAAAUAUUUGCAUUCCCAUAUUGUUUUGAAAAACUUUAAAACCUUGAAAUAUGUAAAAAUAUUAAUUACUAUAUGAAAUAGAACCUCUACGUACAUAUUUGCUUACCACUAGAAUAAGUAUCAGUGUGGGUUUUAUUUUUCAAGAUUUUUCUUUUUCAGCCUGUUAUAGACCAAGUGAUUGCAAUGAAUAUGGUAUUUGUCCAACAGGUUGGCGAUGCGAACAAUCAACUAAUUUCUGCCGUUGUUAAUUUUUUGGAAUGGCUCUAUCAAAAUGUAGCAGAAUGAAAUAAAUACUGAGCUAUUAACA